GAGUGAGUGUCCGAGUGGUCCAAGGAGCGGCAUUAAGGCUGCCGUCUCGUAAGAGGCGCGGGUUCGAAUCCCGUCUCACUCA